rnacentral:rRNA from 1 species
GAGCAACGCCGCGUGAGGGAUGAAGGCCUCUGGGCUGUAAACCUCUUUUAUCAAGGAAGAAGAUCUGACGGUACUUGAUGAACAAGCCACGGCUAAUUCCGUGCCAGCAGUCGCGGUAAUACGGGAGUGGCAAGCGUUAUCCGGAAUUAUUGGGCGUAAAGCGUCCGCAGGCGGUCUUGUAAGUCUGUCGUUAAAGCGUGGAGCUUAACUCCAUUUCAGCGAUGGAAACUGUAAGACUAGAGUGUGGUAGGGGUAGAGGGAAUUCCCGGUGUAGCGGUGAAAUGCGUAGAUAUCGGGAAGAACACCAGUGGCGAAGGCGCUCUGCUGGGCCAUAACUGACGCUCAUGGACGAGAGCCAGGGGAGCGAAAGGGAUUAGAUACCCCUGUAGUCCUGGCCGUAAACGAUGAACACUAGGUGUCGGGGGAAUCGACCCCCUCGGUGUCGUAGCCAACGCGUUAAGUGCUCCGCCUGGGGAGUACGCACGCAAGUGUGAAACUCAAAGGAAUUGACGGGGGCCGCACAAGCGGUGGAGUAUGUGGUUUAAUUCGAUGCAACGCGAAGAACCUUACCAGGGUUUGACAUCCUGCGAAUCUCUUGGAAACGAGAGAGUGCCUUCGGGAACGCAGUGACAGGUGGUGCAUGGCUGUCGUCAGCUCGUGUCGUGAGAUGUUGGGUUAAGUCCCGCAACGAGCGCAACCCACGUCGUUAGUUGCCAGCAUUUAGUUGGGCACUCUAGCGAGACCGCCGGUGAUAAACCGGAGGAAGGUGUGGAUGACGUCAAGUCAUCAUGCCCCUUACAUCCUGGGCUACACACGUACUACAAUGCUACGGACGAAGGGCAGCAAACUCGCGAGAGCUAGCAAAUCCCAUAAACCGUAGCUCAGUUCAGAUCGUAGGCUGCAACUCGCCUACGUGAAGGAGGAAUCGCUAGUAAUCGCAGGUCAGCAUACUGCGGUGAAUACGUUCCCGGGCCUUGUACACACCGCCCGUCACACCAUGGAAGUUGGCCACGCCCGAAGCCGUUACUCCAACCCUUGUGGAGGAGGAUGUCGAAGGUGGGGCUGAUGACUGGGGUGAAGUCGUAACAAGGUAGCCGUACCGGAAGGUGC